CCCUUAGAUGUCCUGGGCCGCACGCGCGCUACACUGAGUGUCUGAGAUACGAGUCUGCCUGGUCCGGCAAGGUCUAGGUAAUCGCUAAAAGACACAUCAUGCUUGGGAUAGAUUAUUGCAAAUAUUAAUCUUGAACGAGGAAUUACUAGUAAGCGCAAGUCAACAGCUUGCGUUGAUUACGUCCCUGCCCUUUGUACACACCGCCCGUCGCUACUACUGAUUGGAUGUUUAAGCGAGGUUCUCGAACUGCUAGCGACUUAGCUUCGGUGAGGUCGCAGUGUGGGAAGUGAACCUAGCUUUGGUGUCUAGAGGAAGUAAAAGUCGUAACA
rnacentral:rRNA from 1 species